rnacentral:rRNA from 1 species
GUAACCGGCUCACCAAGGCGACGACGGGUAGCCGGCCUGAGAGGGCGACCGGCCACACUGGGACUGAGACACGGCCCAGACUCCUACGGGAGGCAGCAGUGGGGAAUAUUGCGCAAUGGGCGAAAGCCUGACGCAGCGACGCCGCGUGGGGGAUGACGGCCUUCGGGUUGUAAACCUCUUUCAGCAGGGAAGAAGCGCAAGUGACGGUACCUGCAGAAGAAGCGCCGGCUAACUACGUGCCAGCAGCCGCGGUAAUACGUAGGGCGCGAGCGUUGUCCGGAAUUAUUGGGCGUAAAGAGCUCGUAGGCGGUUCGUCGCGUCGGCUGUGAAAUCCCGAGGCUCAACCUCGGGUCUGCAGUCGAUACGGGCGGACUGGAGUUCGGCAGGGGAGACUGGAAUUCCUGGUGUAGCGGUGAAAUGCGCAGAUAUCAGGAGGAACACCGGUGGCGAAGGCGGGUCUCUGGGCAACAACUGACGCUGAGGAGCGAAAGCGUGGGGAGCGAACAGGAUUAGAUACCCUGGUAGUCCACGCCGUAAACGAUGGGCACUAG